UACGUAGGUGGCAAGCGUUAUCCGGAAUUAUUGGGUGUAAAGGGUGUGUAGGCGGGAUUGUAAGUCAGAUGUGAAAAUUAUGGGCUCAACCCAUAAAUUGCAUUUGAAACUGCAGUUCUUGAGUGUGGGAGAGGUAAAUGGAAUUCCCGGUGUAGCGGUGGAAUGCGUAGAUAUCGGGAGGAACACCAGUGGCGAAGGCGAUUUACUGGACCACAACUGACGCUGAGACACGAAAGCGUGGGGAGCAAACAGG
rnacentral:rRNA from 1 species